rnacentral:rRNA from 1 species
CGUGUAGGCGGUUGGUCAAGUCUGAUGUGAAAGCCCGGGGCUCAGCUUCGGAAGGGCAUCGGAAACUAGCCAGCUGGAGCGCGAUAGAGGAGGGCGGAAUUCCUGGUGUAGCGGUGAAAUGCGUAGAUAUCAGGAGGAACACCGGCGGCGAAGGCGGCCCUCUGGAUCGUUGCUGACGCUGGGACGCGAAAGCGUGGGGAGCGAACA